GACGAACGCUGGCGGCGUGCUUAACACAUGCAAGUCGAACGAUGAAGCCGGAGCUUGCUCUGGUGAAUUAGUGGCGAACGGGUGCGUAACACGUGAGUAACCUGCCCUUGACUCUGGGAUAACUGCGGGAAACUGUAGCUAAUGCCGGAUACGACCCUCGGAGGCAUCUCCUGGGGGUGGAAAGAAUUUCGGUCAAGGAUGGACUCGCGGCCUAUCAGCUAGUUGGUGAGGUAAAGGCUCACCAAGGCGACGACGGGUAGCCGGCCUGAGAGGGUGACCGGCCACACUGGGACUGAGACACGGCCCAGACUCCUACGGGAGGCAGCAGUGGGGAAUAUUGCACAAUGGGCGCAAGCCUGAUGCAGCAACGCCGCGUGAGGGAUGACGGCCUUCGGGUUGUAAACCUCUUUUAGCAGGGAAGAAGCGAAAGUGACGGUACCUGCAGAAAAAGCACCGGCUAACUACGUGCCAGCCGCCGCAGUAA
rnacentral:rRNA from 1 species